GUAAACCUGGGACUAUCACCAUAAAUAUUUCUGUUUGUUUAAGUUAAAGAAUGGAUGUGAUACACUUUAUGAAAACACACCAGUGACUGCAGGCAGUUUAAAAUGGUCUUAUGAGUUACAAGAGGCUUCUCAGGCAUGGAACACAUUUUCAGCACAUCAAUUCUCUAGUUUUGCGGAUGGGGAAACAAAUUGUGUUUUGCAAAAAUACGAAUAUUGGAAUAAAUGUAUUAAUAUAAUGAAGAAAUGGACCUCUGCUAUACACGGGAUCUACACCUUCUCUGUGCCUCAGACCUCGGUGUAAUAAUUCUCUGGAAUUUGGAUGGUAUGAGGACAAUCAGUAUUUGCUCCAGGCAGAUCCUCUUUCUGAUGAAUGGAAACUCUACACUGAAUACGUACACUACAUGAUUGUAGAUGGACUGUUCAA